ensembl:antisense
CCUGCUCUCAAGUCUGGGCCCCAUCCUGGCUCAUGAGACCCUAAACACUGACCAUGUUUUCCUUUACCAUUUAUUUUGACCAUAAGCACUCUCCCCAACCCCCAGUGCCAACAUUGGCUUCCCAUUAAAAUCACUGAGAGAUUUUUCAAAAUCCUGUUGCCGAGCUGCAAUAUCCUGGCCAAAUAAGUGAAAUUACCAGAAGUGGAUCUCAGGCUCGGGCGGAUUGAAAGGUAUUUUUAGAGAGGAGAGUCUCACCUCACAGUAUUCCGUGAUAAUGCAAAAAGUCUCCUGCUCCAUGAAGCUUGCAUGGAAUCUGACAAUGGCAGGAUGAUGGAGCCUGGAGAGGAGCUGAGCUUCCACAUUGGCCUGCACGGUCUCAUUUGGAUUUAAUUCGCCAACAGAGAUUUCCUUCAGUACCUUUCUGUAGCCAAAAACAAUAGAAAGCAAAGGAAGAAAAGAAAAAGAAAGAAGAGGAGAAGAAAGAAAGACAUCAAGAGUUGAGAAGUCUGUUUCUCUGUUGUAAGGACGUGGUACAGAACCCCUCACCAUGCCCAGGAAAUAAUCAGCUGCUCCAGGGCCUAGUUCUGCCUGCUCUGGGUCUGAAGCCCUGGGUCCCUGCCUGUCCCACCCAGUACCAUGGUGCUCCACAGCCUCUGAACGCCA